GGAAGAUAUCUAGGGCGCACGGCGGAUGCCUUGGCACAUGGAGCCGAUGAAGGACGCGGCAAGCUGCGAUAAUCCGCGGUUAGGGGCACACACCCUUCGACCCGCGGGUCUCCGAAUGGGCGAACCCGCCAGGAGAAGUCCUGGCAUCCCCCGACUGAACACAUAGGUCGGGGGAGGACAACCCGGGGAACUGAAACAUCUAAGUACCCGGAGGAGAAGAAAUCAACCUCGAGAUUCCCCGAGUAGCGGCGAGCGAAAGGGGACCUAGGCCAAACCGUGGAGCGGGCGGGCGCCAGCCCUUACCGCCCACGGGGUUGUAGGGCCUCCCGCCCGGGAGCUGGCGCUCCCGGCGGGCAUCCAUCCAGGGGAGCCGAACGGCAUGGGAAGGCCGGCGGCACAGGGUUAGGGCCCCGUAGGCGCACCCUGGGAUGGAGCCCGGUGGAGGUACCUGAGUAGGGCCGGGCACGUGAAACCCGGUCCGAACCCGGGGGGACCACCCUCCAAGCCUGAAUACUCCCAUGUGACCGAUAGCGCACCAGUACCGUGAGGGAAAGGUGAAAAGCACCCCGGGAGGGGAGUGAAACAGUACCUGAAACCGUGCGCCCGCAAGGCGUCGGAGCAGGCUUGUCCUGUGACGGCGUGCCUUUUGUAGAAUGAGCCAGCGAGUUGCUGGCACGCGGCGAGGUUAAGCUGGGAAGCGAGCCGGAGCGAAAGCGAGUCCGAAACGGGCGAUUCCAGUCGCGUGCCGCAGACGCGAAGCCGGGUGAGCUAUCCCUGGGCAGGCUGAAGCGGGGGUAAGACCCCGUGGAGGGCCGAACGGACGUACGUUGAAAAGUGCGCCGAUGACCUGGGGAUAGGGGUGAAAGGCCUAUCAAACCCGGAGAUAUCUCGUUCUCCCCGAAAUAGCUUUAGGGCUAGCGUCGAGAGUUAACCGCCGGAGGUAGAGCACCGGAUCGAUGAGGGGGCUUCGCCGCCUACCGAUUCGAACCGAACUCCGAAUGCCGGUCGGUCCAUAUCUCGGCAGUCAGAGCAUGUGGGCUAAGCUGUGUGCUCGAGAGGGAAACAGCCCAGACCGCCCGCUAAGGCCCCCAAUUCUCAGUUAAGUGGCAAAGGAUGUGCGUCCGCGCAGACAACCAGGAGGUUGGCUUAGAAGCAGCCACCCCUUCAAAGAGUGCGUAACAGCUCACUGGUCGAGUGGACAUGCGCCGACAAUACACGGGGCUAAACUGAGAGCCGAAGCGGCGGCAAUGAUCAUCAUUGGGUAGGGGAGCGUCCCCAGCGGGGCGAAGCCGGAGGGUCACCGACGGUGGACUGCUGGGGAGUGAGAAUGCUGGCAUGAGUAGCGAGAGACGAGAGAGUAACUCGUCCGCCGUAAACCCGAGGUUUCCUGGGCGAGGCUAAUCCUCCCAGGGUCAGUCGGGGGCUAAGCCGAGGGCGGAAGCCGUAGGCGACGCGCAGCAGGUGGACAUUCCUGCACCGGAGAUGCACCGUCACGACCGACGGGGCGACGGAUUGGGGUGGCUCGGCGGGGUUCUGGACGUCCCCGUGAUGGAGCGCGGCCCGGAGACCAGGCAAAUCCGGUCUCCACGAGGGCGAGGCUCCGGACGAAGCGCUUGAGCGAAGCGAGUGAGCCCGUGGUCCCCAGAAAAACCCCUAGGCAGGGGCAUCUCCGCCCGUACCGCAAACCGACACAGGUGGGUGGGUAGAACAUACCGAGGCGAUCGGGUCAACCAUGGUCAAGGAACUCGGCAAAAUGGCCCCGUAACUUCGGGAGAAGGGGCGCCGGCGCGUACGUGGACCCACUUGCUGGGCGAGCGGAGGCCGGCCGCAGUGAAGAGGCCCAAUCGACUGUUUACCAAAAACACAGGACUCUGCAGAAGGCGAGAGCCGACGUAUAGGGUCUGACGCCUGCCCGGUGCCGGAAGGUCACGCGGAGGGGUUAGCGCGAGCGAGGCCCCGAAGCCAAGCCCCGGUAAACGGCGGCCGUAACUAUAACGGUCCUAAGGUAGCGAAAUUCCUUGUCGGGUAAGUUCCGACCUGCACGAAAGGCGCAACGACUUGGGCGCUGUCUCGACCAUGGACCCGGUGAAAUUGCACUGGUCGUGAAGAUGCGACUUACCCGCGGAAGGACGGAAAGACCCCGUGAACCUUCACUGCAGCUUGGCAUUGGCCGCUGGCCCGUCGCGUAGAGGAUAGGCGGGAGGCUUCGAAGCCCGGGCGCCAGCCCGGGUGGAGCCGACCUUGGAAUACCGCCCUCGGCGCGCCGGCGUCCUAACCCCAUGCCGUCAUCCGGAUGGGGGACCGUGCCAGGUGGGUAGUUUGACUGGGGCGGUCGCCUCCUAAAGGGUAACGGAGGCGC
rnacentral:rRNA from 1 species